rnacentral:rRNA from 1 species
GAUGAACGCUGGCGGCGUGCUUAACACAUGCAAGUCGAACGGAAAGGCCGAAGCUUGCUUCGGUACUCGAGUGCGAACGGGUGAGUAACACGUGGGUGAUCUGCCCUGUACUUCGGGAUAAGCUUGGGAAACUGGGUCUAAUACCGGAUAUGACAAUCUCUUGGAUGGGGUUGUGGAAAGCUUUUGCGGUAUGGGAUGAGCUCGCGGCCUAUCAGCUUGUUGGUGGGGUAAUGGCCUACCAAGGCGUCGACGGGUAGCCGGCCUGAGAGGGUGUACGGCCACAUUGGGACUGAGAUACGGCCCAGACUCCUACGGGAGGCAGCAGUGGGGAAUAUUGCACAAUGGGCGCAAGCCUGAUGCAGCGACGCCGCGUGGGGGAUGACGGCCUUCGGGUUGUAAACUCCUUUCGCAACCGACGAAGCUUUUUGUGACGGUAGGUUGAGAAGAAGCACCGGCUAACUACGUG